rnacentral:misc_RNA from 1 species
GUUUUUUUUUUAAUUUCUUUUUAAUUUAUUUUUAUAUGCUUAUAUUCCCUGGAAAUUGGCAUAAAUAUAUUAGAAAAGAACAAUUUUCAUUGCAUUACAAAGCACAUGAGUUUUAGCUCUGGAGUUGUUUCCAGGGGGCCAUGUCAAAGCCAAAAAAAAAAAAAAAGCACAAGAAUGGGCAUCAUGAAGACAAAAUCACCCCCAGUUUUCUUGGAAGGAAUAAAAGGCAGUAGUUUGGACACAAAAAAAUUAGAGCUAUUCCUACCAAUCAGUAGCCUUGUUGGCUUUCCUACUAGCUAGUCUAAUGGAGGCUGAAAGGGGGGUAGUCCAUGUCGUCCAUUCCUUGAGAGUUUUAGCUUCUGUUCUAUUGACCUUGCUAAUUUCAUAGAUUUAAUGGGAGCAAGAAUUCACGAACAGUUUUGAUGAUUUUGUUACUCAUACUUGUUUUACAGGUAUUACGUUGUUGAUGAAUGUUGAGAGGGUGUAUUCUAAGAUUUAACAAUAGAGUUUUGAAUUGAUUGUCUGAUUAAUUUAAUUUUAUGUGUAUGCAUUUUUUUGGCAUUCCAGGAGAGGGCACACGAGUAUUACAAUGGAAUGACCAAGGAUCAGUUCAGGAAGAUGCAGGAGUUCAUAGCUGGUCGAAGUGCAAAGAAACCUUCUUCCAAGUUGUAGAUUAU